GGAGUUAGCCGGUGCUUCUUCUGUGAGUGAUGUCCUUCCUGCCGGCUAUUAACCCGCAGGCCUUCUUCCUCACUGAAAGUGCUUUACAACCCGAAGGCCUUCUUCACACACGCGGCAUGGCUGGAUCAGGGUUGCCCCCAUUGUCCAAUAUUCCCCACUGCUGCCUCCCGUAGGAGUCUGGGCCGUGUCUCAGUCCCAGUGUGGCUGAUCAUCCUCUCAGACCCAGCUACGGAUCGUCGCCUUGGUGAGCCGUUACCUCACCAACCAGCUAAUCCGACAUAGGCUCAUCCGAUAGCGCGAGGCCCGAAGGUCCCCCGCUUUCCCCCGUAGGGCGUAUGCGGUAUUAGCCUGGGUUUCCCCCAGGUUAUCCCCCACUACCGGGCAGAUUCCUAUGCAUUACUCACCCGUCCGCCGCUACGCCACCAGGGAGCAAGCUCCCCGUGCUGCCGCUCGACUUGCAUGUGUUAGGCCUGCCGCCAGCGUUCAAUCUGAGCCAGGAUCAAACUCUGA
rnacentral:rRNA from 1 species